CACCCUUUCGCAUUCCUCUUCCUUUCUUUCCUCCUCCUCUCUUUCCGUUCCUUAGUUGAAUCCGGUUCUCUGCUCCUCACCUCCUUCAUCGACCGCGAUCCUUCUUUCAAAUCCCUCCUUUCCCGCCUCGACCUCCACCCUUCUCACCCUCACGCGCGUCUCCACCCCACUCGUCGCCCCACGCGCCGUCCUUUCCUCCACCUCACGCGCGUCGGCACUCUCGACGACGACUUCUUUUCUUCCGACGACGAUCACCGCGACCGCUCCCCCUUCGGUUCUUUCCCUAACCGCCCCCUCAAUGGCACGCCGGUGAUUCUUU
rnacentral:lncRNA from 1 species